UGAGUGUAGUGGGUUUGAGGCUUUGUGGAAGAACAAAAGCCACCUGAGGAGAAGAACAAAUAGUCCCGGAAAAAGCAGCAGAACUCUAAAGGUUACCACGGUAACAGCUUUCAUAGUAGCUCAAUCAAGCAGCUACCUGGAGGAGCAGCAGCAACUGAACCUUCUAGAAGGCAGCAGCUUUAAGGCUGCUAUGCCACCGGAAGACAGCUACCUGUAAAGUCAGCCACCAGCAGUUCCGAGACACACAGCCACAGUGACCUUCAGAAAUAACAGCAACCACCAUCUCCGGCACCGGCACCACUGAGACAGAGCAGAAGGACCUAAGAUGAGUCAGAGGGAUUUUGGUGUGAGAGUCUGAAACCUUAUCCAUAGACGCGUCCUCCAAACCGGAACAGAGACUUUCCCAGAUUAGAAGGCAGAAAAAGAAGACUCUGGAGGACAUGUUCAAUGAGUUAAUGCAUGCCUCUGAGAGUGACAAGACGGAGCUCAGCGCAUGGAGGAUUGCACUGUCCGACAGCCUGCACAAUGACUGAGAGGACAGGAGAGCAUGCAGGGAACACGAGCGUGACACGCAGGACAAAACGGUGCAGAUUAUGAGGGAGCAGACAUGUUGAGGUGUCUGGGUGAGGUUCAAGGCAGCUGGACACUAGAGAACCAUUGAAGCCUAUGCUGCCAUCGUCGCCAAGUUCCAUAACUUCCUCUCCCAGGCAUCCUAGGAUGAAGGGUGGGGGUGGGGGGAGAGUCCAGUAUCCCUUGCACUCAACUCCAGGGGAGUAUACAAGGACCAGAAGGCGCCCAUUCCCACACCUUUGAUUGUUAUUGCAAUGCAAUUGUAAGCAAGCUGUCCU